ensembl:lncRNA
GGUAGGGCCACCACCUGGGAGGAGCUUGUCUGGAUGUCAGGACGGCUCCCAAGGAGGUAGUCCUCCUGCUUGCCCUGGACUUGACAAAGGCCAAGCCUCUGUCUCUGCUGCAGUCAGAUGCCUUUUCCCCUGCAGAACUCACUGCUAAAGAACACUUCGGUGGAACAGAGAUUUACUUUUCUGAACGCCUUGGAUAACUUUGCUGCCCUGAGGAUCAGGUGGCCUCUGGGUCCCACUCAUAUAAUUGUCUUCACGCUGCUGCUUCCGAAUGGCAUCGCCUUUGUGAGAAUGAAGAGGGAAGAGCCCGCUCAAUGCACAGCAUGUGCUCAAGG